GUCCAGACUCCUACGGGAGGCAGCAGUGGGGAAUAUUGCACAAUGGGGGAAACCCUGAUGCAGCGACGCCGCGUGAGUGAAGAAGUAUUUCGGUAUGUAAAGCUCUAUCAGCAGGAAAGAAAAUGACGGUACCUGACUAAGAAGCCCCGGCUAACUACGUGCCAGCAGCCGCGGUAAUACGUAGGGGGCAAGCGUUAUCCGGAUUUACUGGGUGUAAAGGGAGCGUAGACGGUGAAGCAAGUCUGAAGUGAAAGGCGGGGGCUCAACCCCCGGACUGCUUUGGAAACUGUUUGACUGGAGUGCAGGAGAGGUAAGUGGAAUUCCUAGUGUAGCGGUGAAAUGCGUAGAUAUUAGGAGGAACACCAGUGGCGAAGGCGGCUUACUGGACUGUAACUGACGUUGAGGCUCGAAAGCGUGGGGAGCAAACAGGAUUAGAUACCCCAGUAACC
rnacentral:rRNA from 1 species